AUAAUGCAAUUUCUGGGAAAAGGUGUAUUUAUAAUCAUACUGGUAUGUGUAUGUCAACAUCUUAUGUAUACUCAAGGCUCGCUUCAAGACCCAGAGAUUCUACGACUUUAUAGAACGCAAAGAAGUGUAUUAGGAGAGCUGAUAAAAUCUAGUGUAUUAGCUUAUUCACAUCAACAGUUUGGACACGGGUUGAACAUUUCUGCCCCUGGAAGAUAGGAGGUACAAAGAUAGGGACAUAAUUAUUACCAGAGCGAAUGUGGAUGAUCUAACCAUUUGUAAAUGGACUUGGAUUAAUGUUUCUGAAGAUGGACG